CUCCCAUACAUUACACACAAUCCCUCCCCUCUGCCAAAACGGAAAAAUCAUACUUUUCUGGAAACACCCCCAAAACAUAUUCUACAUUCAUAAUUCCAACAUCCCCUGAUAGCCCUGACCUGGGGGAGCAACAUACUGAAAAAUCACCCAAGUCGGUUCAGGGGUUCGAGAGUUUUAUGGAGGUCUUAGUUUUACCGACUUCACAUGAGGUGUAAGCCGAGAAAAGUUCCAUGAGUUUUGGGUGUGCGGUCAGUCUCCGUUCGGGAGGUUGAAAUUCAUGAAAAUAUACAACAGAAUGGUUUGUGUCUUUGUUCGUUUAAUUCCUCUGGUUUGUAUGGUUCUUUUUACCGAACGCCGCUCUGUUCCCUUGAGUUCACACAAACUUAUGCGAGGCUGGAAGUCUCUGCGGUGUUCGUGCUGCCGUGUGUCCGAUUUGGGUUCCAGACACUCGACGACCAAACACUGC